ensembl:lncRNA LOC120103526 uncharacterized LOC120103526
CGCUGUAAAUGGUGAGCCUGGCCCUGCGGCCCCGCCUAGAGAACAGUGCUCUCUGGCGCCCCUCGCGGGCGGAAAACUUCGCUACUGCGUGGCCAUCGCUCUCGCGGUCGUGACCGGAAGAUGAGCUAUUAUUCUGUUCAGCUCAUACCGUGGACAAGGCAUGGUGGUGCACAUUGAUAAUCUCAACACUCUGGAUGCUGAAGCAAGACAAUUGGGAGCUCAAGGCCACAUUGGACAUCAUAGGAGAGAUCAUGUAAGCAAAAAGAAAAAGGAAAGUUAAUAGUGCAGUUAUCUUAAAAAUUCAAAGAAAUUACAGAAGAUAGUUGUAAUGGUUUGUAUAUUUGUGGCCUAGGAAGUGGCUCUAUUAGGAGGUAUGGCCUUGUUGGAGUGGGUGUGUCACUGUGGGCAUGGGCUUAAGACCCUCACCCUAGCAGCCUUAAGAUGAAGGUGUAGAACUCUCAGCUCUUCUUGCACCAGGCCCUCCUGGACACUGCCAUGCUCCCGUCUUGAUGAUAAUAGACUGAACCUCUGAACUUGUAAGCCAGCUUCAAAUGUUAUCCUUUAUCAUACUAGCAGUGGUCAUGGUUUUACAGCAGUAAAAACCUAAGAUAUAAGUUGGUACCAGGGACAUGGGUAUUGCUGUGAUAGGCCUGACCAUGCUUUUGUUUGGAAGAAUGUGGAUUCUGGAACUUUGGAUUUGGAAAGCAGUAGACUACUUUAAAUGGGGCUUAAUGGGUUAUCCUAGUAGGAAUAUGGAAGUCUUUGCUACUGAGAGUGAUUUGACUUAUGCAGCCCUGGCCCAAAGAGGUUUCAGAAGAGAAUUUCAGUAUGUGGUAUAAAGACUGUUUUUGUUGUAUUUUGGUGAAGACUAUGGCUGCUUUUUGCCUUUGUCCGAAGAGUCUGUCUAAAGCUAAGAUAAAGAUAUUUAUAUUAAUUGCAUUGACAAAGGAAGUCUUAAGAGAUGCCCAACAUAGACUCUGUUCUCUGGUUAAGUCUCAUGAAGAACAUUUUGAACAAUCACGUAGUUUAGAAAGGAAAAAUAUAAAGUAUACGGUUAGAGCAUUAAAGGGGCACCAGUAAGUGAAAUGGAGCAGAAUCAUGUAUUCAAGGAUAUCACUGAAUUAAGAAAGUGAGACUUUGGAGCAAGAUCCUACCUUGCUAAAUUUAGAUCCAGGCAUGGUGGCACACACCGUUAAUCCCAGGAGAUAAAGUGCAAUAGAUCUCUGAGUUCAAGGCCAGCCUAGGACAGAGCAAGUUCUAGGUGAAGAAAAGCUUUAAUCAAAAUCAGGUGUAGUGAUGACCACCUUUAAUCCCAGGAGACUGGCAUGCAGCUCUCUGAGUUCAAGGUCAAUAUACAGUGCAAUCUACAGCCAAGCUUGGGCAGUGAAGGAGUUGCAAAAGAGGAAGCUAGUGAUACUGUGACCAUGUUCCAGGUCCUACAAGCAGCAGAACUAGUCAGCUUUGACUAAGUGGCUCUGGCUUUAGAGUCAAGAAUAGAAGGGAUUACUUGCACAAUUGAUGCUUGUUAGCUGGAACUAAGAAACUAGUGGUGAUAAAGAAGAGACCAGCAUUACUGAGGUGAAAUUUUCUGGGAAGUGUUUUCUGAGAGCACAAAGAAACUGUACUAGAGAUAGCCAAAAUUGUACCUCCUUCUGCAGCUGUACUGGGUAAUGUAUAAGAUUCACCCAGGUGGUACUGGUUUUGAAGAUAUGAAGGCAUCCUGAAGAACAGCUGAGGCUUGGCACUGUGAGAGGCCAUGGAAAGUCAUUGGUGAAGGUGCAGCCUCAGUUGCAGUUGAUGGCCCAGGACUGAAGGGGUUGGUCAUGCAAAAAGCUAAGACUUGGCAGCAUGAGGAAAGCCUAUGAGAGGCUAUUGGUGAAGCCUAGUUGCAGCAGAAGACCCCAGUGUAUUGGAGACACCAAUACAAUGGGAUGACACCAAGAACAGCAGUGCUAUAGAGUGGAUCAACUUGAGCUUAGAGUGCUACAGGGGGCAAAACUGGAGAAGAUAUGCUCUUUGGGGGAGCCCAGAAGAUCAGGUGUGGUUCUCAGACAUUGAAACAAGAAGCUGUAAGUUUGAAGUUGCCUUGGAACCCGCAAGAUGUUCAAGAUGCCAGAGCCAUGGUCUGUCUACUGAGAAAAGCUGCUAACAGAGUGGAACCAGCUAAGGUGAAAGAAGUUUGUUGCUGUCAACAAAGAUGAAAAAGGAGCUGGAGUUCUGAAGACCACUUUGACAUCACACAUGGAGAUGCAGAGUUUGGACUUUGUCCAGCUGGUUUCCUGUCUUGCUUUAGGGGUUACAGUUAAGUGAUUGUGAUGAAUCUCAGAAGAGACCUUGAACUUUGGACUUUUAACAUUUUUUAGGCUGGUAUAGACUAUGGAGACUGGUAGUCGAACUAAAUGUAUUUUACACAUGGUAUAUUUAGGUAUGGUCCCCAUAGACUCAUAUGUUUAAACAAGACUAUGGGGGCCAGGGAGUGGAAUACGAUAGUUUGUAUAUGCUUGGCCCAGGAAGUGGCACUAUUAGAAAGCAUGGCCUUGUUGGAGUAGGUGUGUCACUGUGGGCAUGGGCUUAAGACUCUCACUCUAGCUGCCUGGAAGUUAGUCACUAGCAGCCUUCAGGUGAAGAUGUAGAACUCUCAGCUCUUCUUGCACCAUGCCUGCCUAGAUGCUACCAUGCUCCCACCUUGAUGAUAAUGGCCUAAAACUCUGAACCUGUAAGACAGCCCCCAGUUAAGUGUUGUCCUUUAUGACUUGCAUUGAUCAAGGUGUCUGUUCACAGCAGUAAAAACCCUAAGACAAUAGUGAAACAAAAUAUCAAAAAAAAAAUUAAGUCAAUGUGAGAAAUUAUUCAGGAAAAAUCUAGAUUUCUUAAAGAGCAUGGUGAACAUCCCUGUUCAUAAUUAGAGGACAUCAGGACGCGAACUUAAGCAGGGCAGGAGCUAAUGGGGGGUGCUGCUUACUAGCUUGUUCUUCCUAGCUUGUUCAGCUUGCUGGUGAUCGUUACAGAGAUUCUUGCUUUUGCAGUACUCAGUAAUAGAUUACUUAGAUAUUAUAUGCAAGCUAAUCAUUUGGCAAAACUUUAAAAAAAUACAUCAAAGUUCUCUUUCUUUUUUAAAAUUUCACUUUUCCUCUACAUUACAAAGAAAGAAUUGAAAAGUGGUUAAAGAAUAUGAAGUGAGAUUCUCAGGUUCCCAGUAAGUACCAAUUCCUGUGUAGUGACCAUUUUACUCCUGACUCUCUUGCCAUCAGAUAGGGUAUCCAUUUUUUUAAAAGCAAACUGUAAUCCCAACAAUAUUUUUCUUUGCCUGAACACUGUCAAGUAUUGAAGGAGUGGAGAGGGAGUAAAGUUGAGUAGGGUGGCCCAUUACUGGGAUGAUUUUCAAGGUGAUUGAGUAGAGAAAGCAAAAAAGAUUACUAAUGAGAAAUGCAUGAGAGAAAAACAACACUAAUUUGUACCAGUACUAAAAGUAUGGCAAUAUAUUUAAAAUUUAAAUUGUUAUGAAGCCAUUUAAAACAACAACAAAAAAUAGCACUUGGAUACAUACAUUGUAUUAAAAUUAACUAAUAGGUUAUGCUUUCAUACCAGUCAUUUAAAAACCUAAAAUGUUUGUCAUAUAUUGAAGAGUGUACUGCUCUUAAAAAUUAAUUAAAAAUAUACUAAGUAGAAGUUUCUUGCUUAAAUACAUUUGUUUGGCCAGUAUACUACUUAAAGUUAUAGCUUCAUGGUUCCAACUGAUAAGAGUCUAUAUAUUUUUCAGAUUUUAAAAUAUUUUCUAGGGAGAAGAUAUUGCUGAAAAAAUAAAAAUAAGUCUCAGAAGAGAAAAUUGAGAGAUGAGAAAGAAGUAUGCCUAAAAGCUAAGUCUUAAGAAUCAUUUGUAUCCUUGUAUUUCCUUUAAACAGCAGCAAUUUUGGGUUAGAAUUUUGGAGAUGGGUAGGUGACCCCAUCCCUUAACUGUGGGGAGCUAUGCCUAAACUCUAGUUAUAGUCUCAACAGGUUCUCCCUCCCCUCUGUAGGGUAUUUCAGUUGAUGUCAUCACCAUGGGGUCCUGGGAGGCCCUUUCUUUCCCAGCAUCUGGGACUUUCUGAUUCCCAUCCAGAGACUGCCUCAUCUGGGGAUCCAUCCCAUACGCAGACACCAAACCCAGACACUAUUGCUGAUGCCAAGAAGUGCUUGCUGACAGGAGUCUGACACAGCUGUCUCCUGAGAGGCUCUUUGAGCUAUAAGAGCAGCAUCUAGGAAGAUGAAUUAUAAACCAACUACAACAGGAGAGCUGGCUAUCUGAAGAAAAUGUCAAGAUAGCAGAACUAUUUCAGAAUGUAUGACGUCAGCAUGAUAUAAAGAUGUUUUUAAGGUGUGGUCUUUGCGUAAGCUUUUCCAGCUUAAUCAUGUGAAGUGAACUUUGUCCUAUAAAUAAAGUUCUUUGAAGCUAUUAAAUUGCUCUAAUGUUACAACACAACAUAGUGUUCAUAGAAUGCUUGUUAAAAAGGGGGAAACUAGAAGAGCUGCUUGACUGAAGAAACAGUUUUAUUACUUGAUAAUUUUCCUAUUAGAGUUAAAAUGGUAAGAUUUAUUUAUUAAAUAAUAAAAAAAUGUAAAAACUGCCCAACUACAUCAGUGCUGGAAAUUUUACUUUCAUAUGACUUGAACAAGCCAGUAUCUGAACCCUCAGAACGCUGGGGAUAUAGUUCUGUGAUAAAGCACUUGCCUAGUUUGUACAAGGCCUUUGUGGUCUACUCUCAGAACUGGAGGAAAAGGAGAGCCACGGUCCCUAAUCUGUGAAUUAAGAGCAUUUACUAUAUCAUUAGUAUUCUGUUUCUUUGAAGAUAAUUUGCUUAGAACAGAGUUUCUGCACGUUGAUAUGUACUAAUAGUAAAUGAUGGCUAGAAUUUAAUACUAACUAUUAGAUUAUCCUCAAUAUAGUUUGUGUGUUGUGUAACCAUUCGACUGUAGUUAUGUACCUAUAAUAUAAAGGAAAAUACCACUAUUUGCAUUUUAUUUCAGUUGACCUCAGCUGUUAAGAGAGAUGCUUUAAAGUUGAAAGAAAAUACAUAUUUCAGUACUUUAUAUAUGUGAUUCACCAUUAUAAUAUAGCCAUUUAAGUGUCUUAACACACUGUGUUUAUGAACCUAUAUUUAUAAACCAAAAAGCUCAUUGACACUAAUUUUAAAUAUAAUAUCUUACAAAUAAAUCAUAGUUUGUAUUUAUUUCUUAAUAGGUAUGUUUUUUGAAGUACAUUUCUAUCAAGUUUACAUCAAAAAUAGUAUAACUUAGUAUACAUUCCCUCCUAAGUAUACUUUAGUAUCUUAUAAGAAGAAAUUUUAACUAUUUAAGACUUUAGAGAGAAUUGAUGGUGAUAAAUUAAGUAAAAAUACUGUUUUGGUCCAUAUUGGUUUUUGUUUGGUAUAUGAUUUUGUUCCAUUCUCCUGCUGAUCCUAAUUCACGCUACCCUCACCUCCCAG